GAUGAACGCUGGCGGCGUGCCUAAUACAUGCAAGUCGAGCGAACGGACGUGAAGCUUGCUUCUCUGAUGUUAGCGGCGGACGGGUGAGUAACACGUGGAUAACCUACCUAUAAGACUGGGAUAACUUCGGGAAACCGGAGCUAAUACCGGAUAAUAUUUUGAACCGCAUGGUUCAAAAGUGAAAGACGGUCUUGCUGUCACUUAUAGAUGGAUCCGCGCUGCAUUAGCUAGUUGGUAAGGUAACGGCUUACCAAGGCAACGAUGCAUAGCCGACCUGAGAGGGUGAUCGGCCACACUGGAACUGAGACACGGUCCAGACUCCUACGGGAGGCAGCAGUAGGGAAUCUUCCGCAAUGGGCGAAAGCCUGACGGAGCAACGCCGCGUGAGUGAUGAAGGUCUUCGGAUCGUAAAACUCUGUUAUUAGGGAAGAACAUAUGUGUAAGUAACUGUGCACAUCUUGACGGUACCUAAUCAGAAAGCCACGGCUAACUACGUGCCAGCAGCCGCGGUAAUACGUAGGUGGCAAGCGUUAUCCGGAAUUAUUGGGCGUAAAGCGCGCGUAGGCGGUUUUUUAAGUCUGAUGUGAAAGCCCACGGCUCAACCGUGGAGGGUCAUUGGAAACUGGAAAACUUGAGUGCAGAAGAGGAAAGUGGAAUUCCAUGUGUAGCGGUGAAAUGCGCAGAGAUAUGGAGGAACACCAGUGGCGAAGGCGACUUUCUGGUCUGUAACUGACGCUGAUGUGCGAAAGCGUGGGGAUCAAACAGGAUUAGAUACCCUGGUAGUCCACGCCGUAAACGAUGAGUGCUAAGUGUUAGGGGGUUUCCGCCCCUUAGUGCUGCAGCUAACGCAUUAAGCACUCCGCCUGGGGAGUACGACCGCAAGGUUGAAACUCAAAGGAAUUGACGGGGACCCGCACAAGCGGUGGAGCAUGUGGUUUAAUUCGAAGCAACGCGAAGAACCUUACCAAAUCUUGACAUCCUUUGACAACUCUAGAGAUAGAGCCUUCCCCUUCGGGGGACAAAGUGACAGGUGGUGCAUGGUUGUCGUCAGCUCGUGUCGUGAGAUGUUGGGUUAAGUCCCGCAACGAGCGCAACCCUUAAGCUUAGUUGCCAUCAUUAAGUUGGGCACUCUAAGUUGACUGCCGGUGACAAACCGGAGGAAGGUGGGGAUGACGUCAAAUCAUCAUGCCCCUUAUGAUUUGGGCUACACACGUGCUACAAUGGACAAUACAAAGGGCAGCGAAACCGCGAGGUCAAGCAAAUCCCAUAAAGUUGUUCUCAGUUCGGAUUGUAGUCUGCAACUCGACUACAUGAAGCUGGAAUCGCUAGUAAUCGUAGAUCAGCAUGCUACGGUGAAUACGUUCCCGGGUCU
rnacentral:rRNA from 1 species